rfam:Fistulina hepatica ATCC 64428 unplaced genomic scaffold FISHEscaffold_4, whole genome shotgun sequence.
GGGCGCUUAGCUCAGGGGUAGAGCGCACGCUUCGCAUAAUCUGAUCAACAAAUACAGGCCUUGCGUGAGGUCGUGGGUUCGAUUCCCACAGCGUCCA